ACCUGAGUGGCUCAGUUGGUUGAGCGUCUGACUUCAGCUCAGGUCAUGAUCUCAUGGUUUGUGGGUUCGAGCCCCACAUCGGGCU
rnacentral:tRNA from 1 species